rnacentral:tRNA from 2 species
GCCACCCUAGCUCAAUUGGCAGAGCAGCGGUUUUGUAAACCGCAGGUUGUCGGUUCGAUUCCGAUGGGUGGCU